CGAUAGAAAGCGAGUUUCUUGAAGAGUCACCUGCUAAACUCUACUAGAGUCAUCUCUACAGGUGUGGUUAAGAGAGAAAAAAGUUGCCAUUAAGGAAUAAGCAAAUAAGUUUUCUGACGUGAGGAUACAGCACCUAUCUCUGAGAUCAAAGUCAUCCGACCAAAACUGAUGCCUCUGAGACUGUAACAGAAGAGUGAAUAAUGAAAUAUAAGAAUUCUGCACUAACUCUAUGGGGAAGAAAACAAUGGGGACAUUGGAAUGGAGACUAGGCAAUGCCGUGUAGCUUAGCUAUGCAUGAUUGACCUGUAAAGCUGUGUAUCCACUGUCUGUAUUUGGGAUUCGAUUCUCAUUGGAGGGAUGCCUUGAUGAGCCACAUCAAAUAUUUCAACUUCCUCCUGGUAAGUGUCCCAUUCAUUUUGCAGCCCAAGCUU